rnacentral:rRNA from 1 species
UGCCCCCCGGCCGGGAUAGCCCAGGGAAACCUGGAUUAAUACCGGAUGAGACGGGACCCGCGAUGGCGGGACCCGGGAAAGGCGCUGCGGCGCCGCCGGGGGAUGAGUCUGCGUCCCAUUAGCUAGACGGCGGGGUAACGGCCCACCGUGGCGACGAUGGGUAGCCGGCCUGAGAGGGUGGACGGCCACAUUGGAACUGAGACACGGUCCAGACUCCUACGGGAGGCAGCAGCUAAGAAUCUUCCGCAAUGGGCGAAAAGCCUGACGGAGCGACGCCGCCGUGAACGAAGAAGGCCGCGAGGUUGUAAAGUUCUUUUCGGGAGGGGGAACAACCGUGGCAGGGAAUGGCCGCGGGAUGACGUGAAUCCCGGAAAUAAGCCCCGGCUAACUACGUGCCAGCAGCAGC